rnacentral:lncRNA from 1 species
UCAGUAGAUGAACAGCAGGGCUAAUAGGGACCCCAGUGGGCAUCCAAGCCUUGAUUCAAUGAGACAUAGAUUUGACAGAUUCCCAUCAUGUACAGAUGCACCUAAUGGAAUGAACCUCGUGCCUUUUAUUUACCUUAGGUGCGUGUAUUGCACCCUGGUGAGUCCUACUCUACUUUAGUCUGUUCUAUUUUAUUAAAAAUUCAAUUCACAAUCCCUACUGGUUCAGCCUGCCAUGCAAGAAGCACUGUUGCAUUCCAACCCCAUUUUCCAGACAAGACCAUGGACUCACUGAUCCAUGGUUCCACCCCACACCUCUGAGGAUGACUUCACACCUGUUCCUGGCAGAGUACAGAGACUUGAAGUACUUAUAGAUGUGCAGGAAUGCUGGUUGUGCAAAGACCACAUGUGUAUAUGCCUGCAAGCCUUAUUCUCAUUCUCAGCCAGAGAACAAAGCUUCACAAGAAAAUGCCCUUAGAAGCUGGGGAAUAAAUCCACCCUGAGCUGCUAAAGUUGGACAUGGAGCCCUCCUUAAGCAGAGGCUUGGAUGAGGCCAGCAGGGAAGAAGGCGGCGUGGGGACUGAGUCAGGACCUCUCUGGAAUGAGAGUCUCCCGACCUACUUUCAGGCAAGGCAAGUCAGAGAAUUCCUUUCUGACCAUGCUUCACGGGAGAAAGGGUCAGAGAGUUACCUUCCUGCUCCUGCUGUUUUCUGCAUUUCCUUCCAUGUAAAAUAUUCAGCAGAUCAAGGGGCCACAUGUUGGGGUAAUGUGUUCUGGACCCUGACACUAUCCUCCUACCUCUCUGACCAUUUCCUCUCUGUUUCUUUGUGGAGUUCUCUCCCAGGCGUCCAUCCCCGUCCAUCAUGGGGACCCUGCCAGGGAGGGUGGGAGGAGGAAGCCAGGGAUCUGGGGUGAUCUGAGGGCAGCCUGAGAGGACAUGAUGAGACGGAGGGGGCAGGGUUAAAGGGCCA